rnacentral:rRNA from 1 species
UACGUAGGGGCUAGCGUUAUCCGGAAUUACUGGGCGUAAAAGGGUGCGUAGGUGGUUUCUUAAGUCAGAGGUGAAAGGCUACGGCUCAACCGUAGUAAGCCUUUGAAACUGAGAAACUUGAGUGCAGGAGAGGAGAGUAGAAUUCCUAGUGUAGCGGUGAAAUGCGUAGAUAUUAGGAGGAAUACCAGUUGCGAAGGCGGCUCUCUGGACUGUAACUGACACUGAGGCACGAGAGCGUGGGGAGCAAACAGGAUUAGAUACCCUGGUAGUCCCU